GACUAUGCAUCUCCAAUGGAUGGAGAUGGGCAUGGAAGUCAUACAGCAGCUAUUGCAGCUGGGAAUAAUGGUAUUCCCUUGAGAAUGCACGGUUAUGAAUUUGGAAAUGCAAGUGGAAUGGCUCCACGUGCAAGGAUUGCUGUUUACAAGGCUCUUUACCGGCUCUUUGGAGGCUUUGUUGCUGAUGUAGUUGCUGCAAUUGAUCAGGUAAGAAGAGU